AACUAACGCUGGCGGCGUGCCUAACACAUGCAAGUCGUACGAGAAAGUUGGCUUCGGCCGAUGAGUAAAGUGGCGCACGGGUGAGUAAUGCGUGGAUAAUCUGCCCUUUAGUUGGGAAUAACGUACCGAAAGGUGCGCUAAUACCUGAUAAUACUGCAUAACUACUGUUGUGUAGUCAAAGAAGGCCUCUGUUUACAAGCUUUUGCUGAAGGAUGAGUCCGCGUACCAUUAGCUGGUUGGUGGGGUAAUGGCCUACCAAGGCUACGAUGGUUAGCUGGUCUGAGAGGAUGAUCAGCCACACUGGAACUGAGACACGGUCCAGACUCCUACGGGAGGCAGCAGUGAGGAAUAUUGCGCAAUGGGGGCAACCCUGACGCAGCAACGCCGCGUGAGUGAGGAAGGUUUUCGGACCGUAAACCUCUGUUGUACGGGAAGAAGGACUUGACGGUACCGUACGAGAAAGCUCCGGCUAAUUACGUGCCAGCAGCCGCGGUAAUACGU
rnacentral:rRNA from 1 species